rnacentral:rRNA from 1 species
GGACCCGCACAAGUAGUGGAGCAUGUGGUUUAAUUCGAAGAUACGCGCAGAACCUUACCAACACUUGACAUGUUCGUCGCGACUCUAAGAGAUUAGAGUUUUCGGUUCGGCCGGACGAAACACAGGUGCUGCAUGGCUGUCGUCAGCUCGUGUCGUGAGAUGUUGGGUUAAGUCCCGCAACGAGCGCAACCCUCACUUUUAGUUGCCAUCAUUAAGUUGGGCACUCUGAAAGAACUGCCAGUGAUAAGCUGGAGGAAGGUGGGGAUGACGUCAAGUCCUCAUGGCCCUUACGUGUUGGGCUACACACGUGCUACAAUGGUAUCUACAACAGGAAGCGAGACGGCGACGUCAAGCAAAUCCUUAAAAAUAUCUCAGUUCGGAUUGCACUCUGCAACUCGAGUGCAUGAAGCUGGAAUUACUAGUAAUCG